UAGCUACUGAGAAGGAUGGAGAUAAAUGACAGGAGAACACAUCCCACCCCUUUCAUAAAUUCUAUUUUGUUAUCUCCCGAUAGAAUCGAAGCUCCACAAGGGCAGGGACCUUGUCUUACUCACCACUGGAUUUCCUGCACCUAACACUGCAACUGCCACAUAGCAGACCUUCAAGAAAUAUCUGCUGGUUGAAUGAAUGAACGUCCUGUUCCUUGCCAUAUCCCCAGCUCCCAGCACAGCACUUAGUUCGUCAAAGAAGCAUGCUCCUUUGGAUCCAUCCACAUAAAAAUCCCAGGAAAAGCCUUUGAUGAGUUCUGCUUGGAUCACAUGCCCACUCCAGACCAAUCCCUGUGACUAGUGACCAACCCGGGUCAAGUGUCCUCCCAUGAUGAACAGCACCUUGACUGAAAGAUCCAGGAAAAGAAGAGAAGCGUUCUCCCAAAGGAAGAGAUGCUGAGGAAAAUCAAACCACGCGUCACCCCACGGCAGCCUUGCAGGUGUCCCAGGCAGCCAGGUGCCAUGUGUGGGUGGACACGCUGACAUCAUAUCCUCAUUCAGCAUAGGAGAAGGAAAGCCGUGGAGCUCAGACCCCGGUGCCCUGGGGCUGGGAUGGAUACCAGAGAGCAACCACACCUUCUGCCAGUUGGGUACCCGGUCACCACCCUCCUCGGUUGGGGCAGGUGAAGGGGCUGAUGUGGCCUUUCUCCUGCCAGGAAGACGAGCAGGGACUUGAGCGCAGAUCACCCCCUCCAUCAGUCUCCUCCAGGACAAGAUGCCGCCCGCUCUGGCUCCCAUCCCGUGCCAGCUUUCAUCAGAUGUUUGUCAUUAUUUGCUAGUUUUGUUUACACCUUGUUCUAGAAUGUGAGGGAAUACAUUAAGGGCAGGAAGUGUCCUCUUCAUCUUUCCAUGCAGAUUCCCCCCGCCCCCAGUCCCUGGAAUCUGGUGCACAACUAAUAAUUGUUUGUGAAAAGAAUCAGGAGGGCAGAAAUCUGCCACUUUGUUACUACUUCCUGUUUCCAGCGGUAAGUCUGUUGAAUAACAAUUAAAAGCUCAAUUCUUCUACUUUCUUCCAAGUCGACUUGAGGUGGCAUAUGAGUGACAAUAUAGCGUACUCUGAGAAAGUCCAGAACAAAUGAGGAUUUAUUUCUGUAACAAAGAAGAGAGGACAGCUCCUUCCAAACCCCUGACACGAUGUGGUUCUUAGGUAGAUGGACCCCAAAAUAAAUUCAUCGCCAAAUAAGAUCAGAAAAGGCAUCAAGAACCAUUGCAAAAUAAAGGCUCUGGGACAUUCUGUGGUCAAGAGAUCCACUUAACAUCCUUUAAUUUGGCAUUUCCCCAAUUUUUUUGUGUGGAAAUGUGUUAACAUCCUGUAGAACCAGGCAAAGGAUGGCCCAGCAGAUCUCUAAGUUCCCUUUCAGCUCAAGUAUCCCAUAGUUUUAGGUCUUUAAAAGGCAACAGUAGGAACAAGGAAUUUGAAGUCAGAACACUUAAGCUUGGUUUCAAGCACUGCCUCUCAUUAACUGAAAAACCUGGAUAAAGUCAGUCUCUCAGAACCUCAGUCUUCUUAUCUGUGAAAUGGGAAUAAUGAUGGUCUCUGUACCAUUAUGCUGCUUUGAGGGUCACAUUAGGUAACUAAUGUAUGCUAAAGCAAUUUAUAAACUGGACAUGGCAGAUAUAUAUGAGCUAUUACUAUUAUAAAUUAAAACGAAACAGAACUAGAAGUUGAACCUGAACAAUUUCUUAUCACCUAGUCACCUUCUGGAAACUGGUUUCCCACAGCCCUGACUGCUCUUAAUACUUCAGAGUAAAGACACAUAUUUUUUUUAACGGAGCAAAUCCCUUGAAUUCUUUCUUUUUCUUUUUCAGAUCACUACUUUCAACAUCAUUUCAAUUUAGUACUUGUGCCAGGAAAGGAAAGAAAAUAAAAACAAACAAUGAUUUGUUCUUCUAUGCAGUGACCCUCCAGUUGAGUGAGUUUGGGGCUUUUCAUUCAAUGCCAAAUGCUGGUGGUCAAAUUAAAAACAGAGUACAAGACAAAGAAGACACUGAUGGAGAAGAAAUUCAUUGCAGAGAACCAAAUUCCACUACAGCAAAUUCAGUACAGACAGUCCUAAGACACAGUUCUUCAGUGGGAAAAAAUUGUCCUGCUGCAUUCAGAACAGCUCUCUUCCCGGGUAGAAGGAAUGUUGCUUUUUUUACACCUCGUGCUGGUACCUGGUGAGAGUCAUCCUGGCCCAGACAACACCUUCCUGUCUUCUGCACAUAAUAAAUAGUAUAAAUUUAUGCCAUGAAAA